rnacentral:rRNA from 1 species
CCUACGGGUGGCAGCAGUAGGGAAUAUUGCACAAUGGGGGAAACCCUGAAGCAGCAACGCCGCGUGAAGGAUGAAGGUUUUCGGAUUGUAAACUCCUUUUGGUAGAGAAGAUAAUGACGGUAUCUAACGAAUAAGCACCGGCUAACUCCGUGCCAGCAGCCGCGGUAAUACGGAGGGUGCAAGCGUUACUCGGAAUCACUGGGCGUAAAGGGAGCGUAGGCGGGAUCGCAAGUCAGAUGUGAAAUCCUAUGGCUUAACCAUAGAACUGCAUUUGAAACUGUGAUUCUAGAGUGUGGGAGAGGUAGGUGGAAUUCUUGGUGUAGGGGUAAAAUGCGUAGAGAUCAAGAGGAAUACUCAUGGCGAAGGCGACCUGCUAGAACAUAACUGACGCUGAUGCGCGAAAGCGUGGGGAGCAAACAGGAUUAGAUACCCCAGUAGUC